rnacentral:rRNA from 1 species
CGUGGGUAACCUGCCUUGUACUGGGGGAGGGCAGCUGGAAACGGGUGGUAAUACCGCAUAAGCGCACAAUGUUGCAUGACAUGGUGUGAAAAACUCCGGUGGUAUAAGAUGGACCCGCGUCUGAUUAGCUAGUUGGUGAGACAACAGCCCACCAAGGCGACGAUCAGUAGCCGACCUGAGAGGGUGACCGGCCACAUUGGGACUGAGACACGGCCCAG